rnacentral:rRNA from 1 species
GACGAACGCUGGCGGCGUGCCUAAUACAUGCAAGUAGAACGCUGAAGGAGGAGCUUGCUUCUCUGGAUGAGUUGCGAACGGGUGAGUAACGCGUAGGUAACCUGCCUGGUAGCGGGGGAUAACUAUUGGAAACGAUAGCUAAUACCGCAUAAUAUUGACUAUUGCAUGAUAGUCAGUUGAAAGGUGCUACUGCACCACUACCAGAUGGACCUGCGUUGUAUUAGCUAGUUGGUGGGGUAACGGCUCACCAAGGCGACGAUACAUAGCCGACCUGAGAGGGUGAUCGGCCACACUGGGACUGAGACACGGCCCAGACUCCUACGGGAGGCAGCAGUAGGGAAUCUUCGGCAAUGGACGGAAGUCUGACCGAGCAACGCCGCGUGAGUGAAGAAGGUUUUCGGAUCGUAAAGCUCUGUUGUAAGAGAAGAACGAGUGUGAGAGUGGAAAGCUCACACUGUGACGGUAUCUUACCAGAAAGGGACGGCUAACUACGUG